rnacentral:lncRNA from 1 species
UUCUGCCUCAAACCACACUGAUUCUUCUAGCUUUCACUUAAAGAGAUGUUUUUCUCCAACUCUUUAAUCAUAAUCUGAGAUUCUUUUAAACCCUCUGAAGUGUUUCCUAUUCUUCUGAAAUUAUGGUGCCAAGAACAGACUGAGUUUCAUGACGAAGUCUGCAGCCAUGUAUUCAAAGUUUUUACAUGACCACAUGAAACAUUCCCAGGUUCUGGAGCUAUGAAGGUCCAAGAUCAAAGCAUCAACAAGUUCCGUGCCUGAUGAAGUCUCACUCUGUUGCCCAGGCUGGAGUACUGUGGCGGAAUUUCAGCUCACCGCAACC